rnacentral:rRNA from 1 species
CCCUUAGAUGUUCUGGGCGGCCCGCGCACUACACUGGCACUCUCAAUCAGAGCCUGGAUCUAACACUUUGGGGUAUUCUAUGAAGUGGUGUCGUGACUGGGAUUAACCCUUGCAAUUAUUGGUUACGAACGAGGAAUUCCUUGUAAUCGCGGUUUAUCAGCCCGCGUUGAAUGCGUCCCUGCCCUUUGUACACACCGCCCGCCGCUCCUACCGAUGGAUCGUCCGGUGAAGCUCAUGGAGGGGCGGUUGUCUCAGCUGCCGUCGAAGUGAAAUGGACCUCACGAUCUAGAGGAAGGAGAAGUCGUAACA